rnacentral:rRNA from 1 species
UACGUAGGUGGCGAACGUUAUCCGGAGUGACUGGGUGUAAAGGGUCCGUAGGCGGGGGACUAAGUCUGACGUGAAAGCGCCCGGCUCAACUGGGCGAGUGCGUUGGAAACUGGACUUCUUGAAUCACGCAGAGGUCGGCGGAAUUCCCGGUGUAGUGGUGGAAUGCGUAGAGAUCGGGAGGAACCUCGAAAGCGAAGGCAGCCGACUGGGGGAUGAUUGACGCUGAGGGACGAAAGCGUGGGGAGCGAACAGG